rnacentral:rRNA from 1 species
UACGUAGGCAGCGAGCGUUGUUCGGAAUUACUGGGCGUAAAGAGUGCGUAGGCGGUGCUCUAAGUCUGUUGUGAAAUCUCCCGGCUCAACUGGGAGGGUGCGGCGGAAACUAGAGUGCUAGAGUAUGGGAGAGGUAAGCGGAAUUCCUGGUGUAGCGGUGAAAUGCGUAGAUAUUCGGAAGAACACCAGUGGCGAAGGCGACUCACUGGCCCGAUACUGACGCUGAGGCGCGAAAGCGUGGGGAGCAAACAGG